AUGAUUCCGGCAAUCUACCAGCUCGACGGGCUCCACAACUUCAUCUACAUGAAGGCAAUGACAUCCUCCGACCCAGCGACUGGCGAUUUCACCAUCAUGCUCAUCCACAAUCCUUACAUGCAGCUAGAUCAUCAGAUAAGCAAUGGAAUAAGAUCACCUUCCACAACAACAUCCGCUUCUCCGACUGCAUCUUCGAUGACGGCCUCUUUCUACACCAUCACUUACCACAGAGUGGUUCAUCUCAUCGACAUCAAUCCGGAUUCUUCCUACGUGACAGGAGUGAUUGUUCAGGAGACUUUACCCAUGAUGUAUCUCAUUGUCUACCUUGCUCGAUCCCCGAAUCAUGGUGAUUUUAUACAAAUAUUCAGAUUCACAAGCUCGUUGGAGACGGAUCAAACGGACAGGUUUGUUGACUAUGAUUUAGGGGACAAUGAUGUGUUCAUCGGCCGCAAUUACACCGUCUGCCUUUCUACAAAGGAUUAUCCGGGGUUGAUGCCAAAUCACAUCUAUUUCACUGAUGAUGAUGAGUGCUCGCUUCAGGCCUUUAAAGGUACUCCUAGGGAUAUUGGUGUGUACAACUACGAGGACGAUACUUUGAGUGAGGUUGUGUCUCCUCAGCCAUGGUUGAAAUGGCCGCCUCCCUUUUGGAUUACUCCCAGCUUCAAAGACUUCCCAAACACGUAUAGACAAUGAAAAAUUUUAU
rnacentral:lncRNA from 1 species